rnacentral:tRNA from 1 species
GGCACGGUACGCAAACCGGCAAAGCGGCCGGGUCGAGGGCCCGGUGCCUGUGGGUUCGACUCCCACCCGUGCUA